UUUUCAGUUUGGACUCUGAUCAGGAAGAGACUCUUCCCACCAAAAAGGCUUUAAAACCCUUCCCAGCAACCAGCAUGCAAAUACCAGAGCUGCCAUGACUGCUAAAUCCGGAUCUUCACUGGAAAAAUGCAGCUCCAGCACCAUCAGUGAACAAGACAGUACCCUGCACGAAAGUUCUUAUUCAGUGGAAAACUCAUCCCAUGUAUUCCGUACAAGACACUCUUCCCACAUAGCUAAAGAGGCAAACAUAUGUCCUGGGACUUGUCUCCAUGUGAAGAUGAAGACCACAAUAAAGGAGCACUUGAGUUGAUGAGUCUCGGUCUUACUGUGAUGUACUGAUAAUUCUCUGAAGAAAACAGUUCUGAUUCGCAGGGCUUGCCAAAUUCCACGUAUAAGAGCAUGUGUAAUUUGCCCAGAGGCCCGCAGACUCGACCCCUUUGGCUGGCUUGAUAUCUGAAGGAAGGAUCUGUUCCACACCUCAGAGAAGACCCACUUAGGACAGGAAGUCAGACUUAGAGACCCACUCUUGGGGAUUCAUCAGGUUUGUUGGAGAUGUGAAAGCCAUGGAUGGGCACAUGCCAAUUGCUUGAGC